rnacentral:lncRNA from 1 species
AAAAGAUUUCUGAGCUCAUGAGAGCUUCUCAUACACAGGUAAGAAAAGCUACCUCAAAAUAUUACACUAUCUCUAACACUUAAAAUCAUGCUACAAUCCUCUGUAUCCUUUCAAUAAAAGAUACAAUGGAACCCAUAUGUAUACGCUCAUACUAGAAAUAUUAUUCUCCACCACGUUUUAGAAGUUUCAGUCUCCCAUUUAAGUGGGGGUACAAGAGGCCCUUGGGUGCGUGUUCAAAAUUAGGCCAAAUAUCUGCAGCUUUAACAUUAGACCAGGUGACAAUCGGUCCACUGGUUUAGAGGGUUGGCUACUUGAGCAACACAGCUGUCACAAUGUAAAUGCAAUGUUCGCUCUCUAAUUCCAUCACUCAGCUCUCUAAUCCCAUCACUCAGGAGGCAGAGGCAGGAGAAUCUCCUGAGUUCGAGUCCUGCCUGGCCUACAUAAUGCCUGGGCAAUCGGGGCGACCCAGAUCUAGGGGGGGCUUGGGGUGGGGUGACCGCCUGGCAUGAAGGACGAACCUUCCUUCCCAAGUGUGAUCCUCGAAGCUGGAGAUGAACUCCAGCCGCUGCCUGGCUCGCCGCAGCGCCUGCCCUACCUCUCCCGGGCAGCAGGCCAGGGCCCUUAGAGCUGAACAACAGGGCGAAUAGCGGACUUUGGAAAAGGCUCCGGUUAUGCAAACGGCCGAGGCCACAGACAGGGGUGAGUAGGGGGUCGGGGUGACUUCGACUCCGGACGGCACUAGCACCGGGGAUACGUCCCGCCAAGGGUCUCCCCGCUGGUUCCUGCGAUGGACGGCCGAGGCCUUGACAAGAGACACCUGGCUCCGCGCGACACUGCCCACCUCACCUCCGCAAAAGCAAGCGGCCUUUUGGCCGAGAAAUGUCGCCAAACCGCCGUCGUUCCUCUCCAGCCGCUGCGACAGACACCGACAAAAUGGCGUCCGCGCCGUCACCCUACAACCUCCUCAGGUGGCUCCAGCGCCACCUACGCCGAGCCAGCGCGCAUGCGUCACGGAGCCUCGUGCCCGCCCACAGAUCGUGCGAGGGGACGAGGGGUGAACCUGGAAGCCCGCCUUAAGUCUGCGGCGCGCGUCGGGCUCUCGAAGAAGAGUUUUGCUGGGCGUGGCCACGCUGGGUAG